UAGAACAACUGGGGAAGCCGAGGAGCAGCAGGGCACAGGGCUGGAAUGAGCAGACAGCGGCAUCGGAAGCAUGAAUAUCCAAAAUUCCCAUUGCCGCUCAACACCGUGUUCUCAGGAACAAGGGAAAACCUGCGCUAGCAGAACCCUGCUGAGGAGGGACGCCCCCACGGCAGCAGCCUGGAGAGGAGCUGUUGCCUCCUCCGGCUGUGACCGCUCAGACACAGACGUCCAGCUCAGACGUGGCAUGAUGUCCAGGGUCACUUCAUUAACAACUUCUAAGUUUUAUUUAAGGUUGAAGGACAAACCACCCACACUUGGGCUAAUUGGAAGAUCCUAAAUCAUGAGCAUCGAUAACAUGCAUCAAGGACACCCCUAAAUCAUCCACCCACACUUGGACAGAUAACAAAAAUCACACUUGAGCAGUUUGGAGCCUCGAUAACAUACAUCAAGGACUUCAUAAAGGAUACCCCCACACUUGGACAGUUUGGGAAAAAAAUUCAAAGAGUAAGAUAAAGAAGCAGGUGUUGGAACAAAGAACAGCCAAUCCCGAAAGGACAAAACAGCAUAAGGGGGGGGGUUAAUGAUUUUAUAUCCCUACUUUAAAAUGUAUAAAAACCUCUCGUGCAGAUGCCUUGGGGUCCCUGGCAAGACCCCCUUCUAGGGURAGCCUUGGACCCCAGC